AAGAAAAUUAUUAAAGGAAGAAGAUUAAGAUAAGCUACAGCUGUCAUCCCUAAUUGCUAGGAGAAGAUAAGGCUACAUCCAUUCCUAAGAUUUAGGAGAAAAAUUCUCUCCUUAAUCUAUUGUUGGUUUUGCAUUUUAAAUUCCUAGAUUUUAGGUAGCUUGUGUAUUUAAAGAAGCUGCUUGUAUCAUUUGUGAUAUGCAUGAAUAAUACUUCAGUUUCCCUAUUCAUUCCUUAGAGUUUUGUUUCUCUAAAAAUUUUCACAAAAA